UACGGGAGGCAGCAGUAGGGAAUUUUCGGCAAUGGGCGCAAGCCUGACCGAGCAACGCCGCGUGAGUGAUGAAGUAUUUCGGUACGUAAAGCUCUAUCAGCAGGGAAGAUAAUGACGGUACCUGAUUAAGAAGCCCCGGCUAACUACGUGCCAGCAGCCGCGGUAAU
rnacentral:rRNA from 1 species